GUGGACCCCUCCUCCAUCACCUUGGUGACCCUCGACUCCUCAAAGGAGAUGCUGUUUGAAGCAGGUCCCAGACCCUGGGUCCUUGAGCCUUCCAGGUUCUUCCAGAACAUCACCCCUGAGGACCCAAGCAGCAUCAGUCUGGCUCUCUUCGGGCCCUCCACCUCCCUGGAUUACCAGCAACACUGGAUCCUCGUGACCCGUGACCUGCCAGGCCUUGGAGGAGCAGGUCAUCGCCCUGUCAGUGGGGAACAAACCCAGCUACACCAACCCCUUUGCGGCACUGGAGCUUGCUGUGGUGAAGUGCGUCAGUGUCCCCGCCCUCCAGGCUCACCCUGACGCCCGUCUACGCCAGCCCCCAGGUGGGCCUGUCGUGUCCACUGCUGCAGCAGAACAAGCAGGUGGUCUCAGUCUCCAGUUACUGCAACCCCCUGCUGGACCUGGCCUUCUACGACCAGCAGGGCUGCAGAUUCGACACCUUCAGCUCUCUGAGCAUCCUGUGGGAGUCAACCAGGCCGUCAGUGGCUGGCAUCAACCUGACCUGCCCAUGCAGGACGACAGGAGCUGCCUGAAGAGGCCACACGGCUUGCAGCCCAUCUCGGUCCAUGAGGCUUCGGGGACCAAGGCCCUCUCCGCCACGGCGACCGAAUACCAGCAGACCAGCCUCAACACGGCCAGAGUGGCACAGCUGUUAGGUGCCCGGGCCCACCGGUGGCAGGGAUGCCUUCUGCCUCUACCCGCAACCUGCCCGAUGUCCCAGACUCUGGAGCCCCUCGCAGCCUCUGUUUACUGUCCCUGCCUCAAGUGCCUUCCCACUGGCCCGUGGCCGCCAGCCUCCCGCCCUACACGCUGGGCAUUCAGGCGGCGAGGCCCUGACCUCAGACCCCACCCAAGGAUGUGCCCAGGCGGCCUAGUCUCUGUGCCUGUGCAGCCACCAUGCCCGCUGCCUGGAAUGCUGUGCCCUCACUCCCUCCUCGCCACCAGGGGGCCCUCCUGAUUUUUAGGACCAGCCCCAUGUCACUCCCAAGGCCUCAGAUGGCCCUGUGCAUCCCCUGUGCUCCCCCUGUUAUGGUACAGAGACCCCUCCACAUACACACUAUUGACACCAUCUGCAUGCACAUGGGUCAAGGCCCACUGACCCUUGCAUCCCCAACCUAACAUCUCAUGGGCCCUGGUAGAGGCACUGCUCCUGGGGGGCAAGUGGGUGUGUGGAAGCACUCCCCAAGAGCGGCCCUGCUUAAUGGCAUGCACCCCAACUUGGGUUUUGAAUUGGCAAAUGUAGCAGAUGAUGACUGAAGGAGAAGGUGGGACUGGGUUCCUAGGGAUCAUAAGGGCCAGGACUCGGGCUUGAAAUUGUCUCCUGGGUGGGGACCAAGGGGGUGGAGACUCAAGUGGGAGCAGCGCUGAGGCUGGCUGUGGGGCAGAGGCCCGAAGGAGCACACCUGUACGCCCUGGGUCAUCUGUCUGCACCAGAGCAGGGAGUCUCCUGGCUGUGGGUGGCCUCAGAGGCCUCUCCCUUCAGGGCCUCUGCACUUAGGCUCUUUGCCUGUGCACCUUUCCCUAGUGACACCCAGCACACCUUCCCCUCUGGGCAUCUGCUCACUUGAGAGUCCCCUCACCCCACCUGUCCUUCCAGGUAUCACAACCAGUCCUAAGCUCUGACCCAGGCCUUCCUUUACUUUCCCUUUUAGUUUAAUCCUGACGUUCGAUUAGUUUGCAUCAUUGCCUGAGGAGAGUUGUCAAUGCCCAGGACAGCCCCAGGGCUGGCACGGAGUUGGGGCUCACACGUGUACCCUCUGCUCCCGGCCGUGUCCACCAUCAGGAUCCAUGGCCUGUGCCUGGCUUUCCCAGCCCCAGAGAAGGCCGCCGUCCGUGUCUCUGACCUCCAGGAGCUGAAUGUUCAAGUGGUUGACAAGGUGGAGAUUGGAAAGACAGUCAAGGCCUAUGUCCAGGAGCUGGACUUUCACAAGAAGCCUUUCCUGGCCAAACACUUCUCCUUCAUGGACCUAAAGCUCUGAGCAGCCUCCAGGAUCAUCACGUUGGUGACCAGUUCAGCCCUUGCUGUGUGUGUGCGCUGAGGGGAAGUGUGUCAUUUCUGUGACGGGCUAGGAGUUAUGGAGGUCACCCGGGAAGCUGCCGUGGAGAAAACAUGUUCAGAUCUGUGCCCUGUGAUGUCUUCUGCUCGACAAGGGAGCCAUCACCAGUCCCAGGGAUCUGGGGAGGCAGCUCCAGAGGGAGGGGCCUGAGUGACUUUUCCUUCUCUCUGGGACAGAGCAGGGCAGGAUGUGACUCACAGAAGGGGAGUGCUUGUCACAUAGCCAGGGAGUGGAAGAAGACUCCUGAAACCCUUAAGCGCCUGAAAGGCUCUGCGGGCAGACUUUGGCUCCUGUGCAGAAGCGCCUCUGGAGGAUGGGUCUGGACCCGCCCUUAAAGGCGGCGGGCUUCUGCUUCGGGAGCUCUUGGCGCAAGCAGGUCCUGAGCAAGGGACGUCUGAGGUGCCCCGCAGUCCCCUCAGUAUGUCCCUUGGGGCUUGUGUUGUGGCAUUAGGUUUUCACAGACGCCUCCCAGUCCCUGGGGGCCAAGGCAGCCGUGGCCAAAUCCACAAAUCUGGUCCACACAGGGGCUGAUAGGCUUUCUAUUAAACUGUUCUGGAGCUGG